GGUCUCAUAGUACAACGGAUAGUACGUGGGCCUCCGAAGCCUGAGAUCUAGGUUCGAUUCCUAGUGAGACCA
rnacentral:tRNA from 2 species